AAUAAGCGCAACCAUGAGUUUCCGUGUCCAAUUUUUAUCUUCCGUCUUAUUUGAAAUUUUUUUAUGAUUAGUAUUUUUAUUGUUAUUAGAUUAUAAAACAUAAAUACAUAUGUUUUUGCAUUUUUUUAAAAAAAUAUUAAAUAAGACGAACGAUUAAAGUUGGACACGAAAACUCAUAUCUGCGCUUAUU
rfam:Oryza glaberrima chromosome 2 Oglab02_unplaced270_1, whole genome shotgun sequence.